rnacentral:rRNA from 1 species
UACGGGGGGUGCGAGCGUUGUCCGGAAUCACUGGGCGUAAAGGGCGCGUAGGUGGCUCUGUAAGUUUGCGGUGAAAGCCCGGGGCUCAACCCCGGGUCUGCCGUGGAUACUGCAAGGCUUGAGUACUGUAGAGGCAGGUAGAAUAUCGGGUGUAGCGGUGGAAUGCGUAGAGAUCCGAUAGAAGACCGGUGGCGAAGGCGGCCUGCUGGGCAGUAACUGACACUGAGGCGCGACAGCGUGGGGAGCAAACAGG